GAAUUAUAAAACAGAAUGGCACAAUAUAUUUAACUGACUUCCAUCUUCAAGCAAAGAGUUGUUCUCCAAAUGGCAAUUGGAAUUUGCAGCAACCUGAGUGAGGAGAGAGAUAAAUUGAAUAAUUGUUAGGCAAAAAUGAACCAGAACUUGAAGACUUGGAAAAUUACCAGCCUAUUUAUAUUGCAAAAUAAUACCAAAGAAUUUUGGGAAGAGAACAUCAAGGAUAUUGCUGGGCUACAAAGAUCUGCUAGAAAGAUUACAGUUACCAUGGUGCUGCAACUGGCUGAACAUGCUGUUACUAUGGAAACAACAGUGUAUUUCUCUGCAUCUCAUACAUUUUGGUACAUUCUUCAGAUCUUUUCUUCACAUGUGCAUUUAUUUUCAUAUGACAAAUAUGUAAUUAAAAGUUCUAUAGUUCUUGAGCAAUUAGGGCAACUUAGACAAUAUUUUCAUACUUACAGAACAAUUGAAAAUUAAUGACAGAAUAUACACAAUAUUGUAUAUUUUUACUCAUCUUCGUAUUCAACCAAAAAUUAUCAGCUUACUUU
rnacentral:lncRNA from 1 species